GGGGGGGGGGGGGGGGGGGGGGGGGGGGGGGGGGGGGGGGGGGGGGGGGGUUUUUUUUUUUUUUUUUUUUUUUUUCUUCAAGGCUGUGUCUUGGCAGUCCUUAGUACUUGCCAUCCACCCUGCUUGGGGAAGGUUGUUUGUUUCACAGCCAGGGCUGAGCUCAGAGCUCACCACAGUCCCAAAGCUUCCCUGCUGUUGAGCUGGGAAGCAAGUAAGAAUCUCUCCCAUUUGCUCCCGUGUUCUCCAAACAUGGCCCCCUCACUGCUUUGCUUUCUCUUUGCACAGCUCUGUACAAAGAAGCUGAAUGUACACAAUGCCAAACACCACCUGAAAACUUUAUUGCUGCUGUCAGCAACUUCUCUACUAGUUCAGUUUGAGAGAGCAAAAGCAGAGGGGCAUCUUUUGCAGGAUGAACAAGCAGAGCAAAAUUACUACGUGGCUGGAGAAGAGAAAUCCUUAUUUACCUGUUUAGCUUAAAGUCAGCAGAUCUCUCUUUCCAAAUGGCAGUGCAUUGGAUUUAUUGCUCAAAAUAAGGAAAAAAGUAACAUCCCACUCUAUGGUUGGCAAAUUUGCAGCAAGGAUCCCAUUGAAAGCUGGUGGCUUACAUCUCAUAUAACUUGAAAUAAAGGAGUCACUCACACAUUCAUAAUCAAUACAAUUACUUCUACUUUACAUGAAUUAAGUAAUUUGUAUGGCAUUACUGUUUGGGGCAUUUGUAUCCCUAUUCAGAGCACUUCUUCAGUAUUUCAGUCCCACUGAUGGUAAAGGCAGGUGCAUGCCAGUUACCCACAAAACCAAGGCAAAGCUCUAUGGGGAAAGUCUUUUAUGUCCAUCUAGAUUUGAAUUUGUAGUCCCUUUCCAAUUACUGUGCUAAUUGUUUAAGAGAUUGCUAGACUAAAAAAGUUUUUAAUCACUAAUCUGUUUUUG
rnacentral:lncRNA from 12 species